GGGCGAUUAGCUCAGUUGGGAGAGCACCUGCCUUACAAGCAGGGGGUCGGUGGUUCGAGUCCACUCAGACCCACCA
rnacentral:tRNA from 1 species